rnacentral:misc_RNA from 1 species
GAUGAAGAACGCAGCGAAAUGCGAUAAGUAAUGCGAAUUGCAGAAUUCCAGUGAGUCAUCGAAUCUUUGAACGCACAUUGCGCCCGCCAGCAUUCUGGCGGGCAUGCCUGUUCGAGCGUCAUUUCAACCCUCGAGCCCCCCCGGGGGCCUCGGUGUUGGGGGACGGCACACCAGCCGCCCCCGAAAUGCAGUGGCGACCCCGCCGCAGCCUCCCCUGCGUAGUAGCACACACCUCGCACCGGAGCGCGGAGGCGGUCACGCCGUAAAACGCCCAACUUUCUUAGAGUUGACCUCGGAUCAGGUAGGAAUACCCGCUGAACUUAAGCAUAUCAAUAAGCGGAGGA